UCUGAUUUUAUUUUUCUUUAUUUCCUUUUAUUUCAAAAAUUCAUAUCUCUUUUAUUAUUGGUCCAAAAAAUAUGGGACCAAUUGCAUUAUUUCUCUUUAUAAUUCUAGUUUCUAAAAGUGAUUUUUAAUAUUUUUCAUUUUAUCAUUUGAUAUUUUUUGUGAAUUUUCUCUUUUCUGGUUGUUUUUAAUUCAUUUUAAAUAGUUU
rnacentral:lncRNA from 1 species